rnacentral:rRNA from 1 species
GACGAGGGACCUAGCGUUGUUCGGAAUCAUUGGGCGUAAAGCGGGUGUAGGCGGACUUAUAAGUCAGAUGUGAAAUCCCAGGGCUUAACUCUGGAAGUGCAUUUGAUACUGUAAGCCUUGAAUGUGGUAGAGGUUACUGGAAUUCCUGGUGUAGUGGUGAAAUACGUAGAUAUCAGGAGGAAUACCGGAGGCGAAGGCGGGUAACUGGGCCAACAUUGACGCUGAGAUCCGAAAGCGUGGGGAUCAAACAGG